CUCAGAAUGGCUGAAGAUAAAGCGGUUAGCUGUAAACUUUCUUAUAAGGGUUCCUUUUCUGUGA
rnacentral:tRNA from 1 species